UGAAGUUGGAGUUUCAUCUUCAAAAUUGCCUUUCCUGAAAAAUGCAACUUUCCCAUAAAAAGGGAGAGAAAGAAAGUACAGUAGCAGCAGCAAUCGAUAUGUAGUACCAUAGCGACCAUAAGGAGUCCUCAUCAGCAAGAAUCCUCAUCUGAUCUAUGUAAACAUAGAUACCCAGCGAUGCUGCUUCCUUUUCUCCUAGCACGGCUUCAACAAUUUCAAUGAUCUAUUCCUUUUUCAAAAAAAUCAAUGUUUUUACAGCUGUUCACUCCCCUCUUCAGCACAUAAGCUUGCAUCUCCUGUUCCUGCAGACCUAUGUCAAUUUUGUGAGCAAUGAAAAGCUAGAGAAAUGAAA